rnacentral:rRNA from 1 species
GACGAACGCUGGCGGCGUGCUUAACACAUGCAAGUCGAGCGGAAAGGCCCCUUCGGUGGUACUCGAGCGGCGAACGGGUGAGUAACACGUGAGUAAUCUGCCCCUGGCUUUGGGAUAGCCACCGGAAACGGUGAUUAAUACCGGAUACGACCACUUCUCGCAUGGGAUGGUGGUGGAAAGUUUUUUCGGCCAGGGAUGUGCUCGCGGCCUAUCAGCUUGAUGGUGAGGUGAUGGCUCACCAUGGCUUCGACGGGUAGCCGGCCUGAGAGGGUGACCGGUCUCACUGGGACUGAGACACGGCCCAGACUCCUACGGGAGGCAGCAGUGGGGAAUAUUGGACAAUGGGCGGAAGCCUGAUCCAGCAACGCCGCGUGAGGGAUGACGGCCUUCGGGUUGUAAACCUCUUUCAGCAGGGACGAAGCGCAAGUGACGGUACCUGCAGAAGAAGCACCGGCCAACUACGUGCCAGCCGCCGCCGUAA